UGCAGAAAGGGCUUAGAGUUUGAUCAUGGCUCAGGAUGAACGCUAGCUACAGGCUUAACACAUGCAAGUCGAGGGGCAGCAUGGUCUUAGCUUGCUAAGGCCGAUGGCGACCGGCGCACGGGUGAGUAACACGUAUCCAACCUGCCGUCUACUCUUGGACAGCCUUCUGAAAGGAAGAUUAAUACAAGAUGGCAUCAUGAGUUCACAUGUUCACAUGAUUAAAGGUUUUCCGGUAGACGAUGGGGAUGCGUUCCAUUAGAUAGUAGGCGGGGUAACGGCCCACCUAGUCUUCGAUGGAUAGGGGUUCUGAGAGGAAGGUCCCCCACAUUGGAACUGAGACACGGUCCAAACUCCUACGGGAGGCAGCAGUGAGGAAUAUUGGUCAAUGGGCGCAGGCCUGAACCAGCCAAGUAGCGUGAAGGAUGACUGCCCUAUGGGUUGUAAACUUCUUUUAUAAAGGAAUAAAGUCGGGUAUGCAUACCCGUUUGCAUGUACUUUAUGAAUAAGGAUCGGCUAACUCCGUGCCAGCAGCCGCGGUAAUACGGAGGAUCCGAGCGUUAUCCGGAUUUAUUGGGUUUAAAGGGAGCGUAGAUGGAUGUUUAAGUCAGUUGUGAAAGUUUGCGGCUCAACCGUAAAAUUGCAGUUGAUACUGGAUAUCUUGAGUGCAGUUGAGGCAGGCG
rnacentral:rRNA from 1 species